GAUGAACGCUGGCGGCGUGCCUAAUACAUGCAAGUCGAGCGAACGGACGAGAAGCUUGCUUCUCUGAUGUUAGCGGCGGACGGGUGAGUAACACGUGGAUAACCUACCUAUAAGACUGGGAUAACUUCGGGAAACCGUAGCUAGUACCGGAUAAUAUUUUGAACCGCAUGGUUCAAAAGUGAAAGACGGUCUUGCUGUCACUUAUAGAUGGAUCCGCGCUGCAUUAGCUAGUUGGUAAGGUAACGGCUUACCAAGGCAACGAUGCAUAGCCGACCUGAGAGAGUGAUAGGCCACACUGGAACUGAGACACGGUCCAGACUCCUACGGGAGGCAGCAGUAGGGAAUCUUCCGCAAUGGGCGAAAGCCUGACGGAGCAACGCCGCGUGAGUGAUGAAGGUCUUCGGAUCGUAAAACUCUGUUAUUAGGGAAGAACAUAUGUGUAAGUAACUGUGCACAUCUUGACGGUACCUAAUCAGAAAGCCACGGCUAACUACGUG
rnacentral:rRNA from 1 species